AGGGAAUAUUGGACAAUGGAGGAAACUCUGAUCCAGCCAUGCCGCGUGAUAGAUGAAGGCCCUCUGGGUUGUAAAUAUCUUUUAUCUGGGAAGAAACACUCCUAUUCUUAGGAACUUGACGGUACCAGAGGAAUAAGCACCGGCUAACUCCGUGCCAGCAGCCGCGGUAAUACGGAGGGUGCAAGCGUUAUCCGGAUUCACUGGGUUUAAAGGGUGCGUAGGCGGGCUGAUAAGUCAGUGGUGAAAGCUCCGAGCUUAACUUGGAAACUGCCAUGGAUACUGCCAGUCUUGAAUGUCGUAGAGGUAAGCGGAAUGUUGCAUGUAGCGGUGAAAUGCUUAGAUAUGUUACAGAACACCAAUUGCGAAGGCAGCUUACUAUGCGAUGAUUGACGCUGAGGCACGAAAGCGUGGGGAGCAAAC
rnacentral:rRNA from 1 species